rnacentral:lncRNA from 1 species
GCACGGGGCCGGCGCGGCGAGCGGGGCGCGGCGGAGCCCGUCGGGUUUUGCACGCUGGCGGAGCGCCGGCGGUGAGCGGCCGCCCCGCGCCCGAAGCAGCGCGGCGCCCGCGUGUCCGGCGGCGGCUCCGGGCCGCUUUUUCCAACGUGCCCGUCGUGCGGGCGCGCGCAACCCGUAGUAAUCAAUCGGCGCGGAGACCUUCGCCGUCGUUCGAAGCCUCCUUAAGCUUUUGCUUAAGUGCCAAGGCAGCCGUCAGCUCGGCUUAGAAAUUACAAUUGGAAAUGAGACGCCGCCGAGCGUUGCAGCAGAUUCCCCACGAGCCCUCGGCACGAUGCGGCUCCCCUCGGAACCGCGGCCAAACGCGACGCUUUCAUUUCAAACCGGACCCGCCAAACACCUCCGUGCGAGCAAAAGCCCUCAAAGGAAAAGGCGGUGGUGACACCGGCGCCUCCGUCGGGAGCUGCUCCCUCCCUCGCCCCGGUGGCACACGUCGGCCAUCUCUGUGUUUCCGAAGGACGCGCUGAGCAGGCGGCACACGGCGCUGCCGGAUAACAGGGCAGGAGCCGCCUCGCACCGGGAGAUCCGUAUCAGACCAAAUUAAAUUUAAAAGCUCCCAUCUGCAAUUAGGCUCCUGCGGCGACUCGCGGGCAACGAAUGACACAUCCCUGCCCGCGGCUGCCUUUCCCGGCCUGCCUUCCCCGGCAGCCCCGCUCGGGAAGGCGUUGCUCGGGGCGAGCUGCGGGCUCAGCCCCGCUCUCCUCUCCCUGCCCUCCCCCAGCGGAGUCAAGGGGAAAACACGAGUGAGCGUCACCCCAAAAUGCAUAGAGGGGGAAAAAAGCAAAGCAGAAGCUGCAGUGGCACUGCUUUGGGAUGCCCAGCAACACCCAUCCAGCUCUGAGAUCUGCUGCACUGCUGGCUACGGGGCUACGUGGGCUCUGGGGGAUCUGGGGUGGCCUUCAUAUCGUGCUGGCCCGGGCCCCGUGCCUCCAGCUAAGGAGUCGUGCUUGCAGCACAAGCGAACAUUUGAGCGUCAAUAAGGUGGUAGUGUUAUUUAUAGACUCCUAUCUGAGCUAAAAGCUACGGGAAUCGAUGCCCUGCAGAUGAGGGCUUCCAGGAUCUGGUGGUGAUAAAGUUCUCGGAUGCUGCCAGGAGACGAAGCACCACCACAUCUCCUCUUAGCCCGAUUUUCCAUUACAUCUCUGCGGGAGGAGCAAUGGGUGCAGCUGCUUCACCCCAGGCUGCCAGCAGCAGCGUGCACAGCUCUUGCCAUCACCAGCGUGAUGGAUCACACGUUGCCUAAUUCCCUGCUCUGCCCCUCACCACGUUCCCAGGUAUGUGGGAGAGCACCCGCUAACGGCCAGCCUUGAGCUCAGGGAUGCCCCAGGACACAGCACUGUCGCCCUGCUUCUCAUCUCAGAGGGCUGCUGCGGCCUCCAGCAACUCCCUCCUUCCACUGAAGCGACCAAAUCCAAGCAGGCAGGCAAACAAACAGCUGCUUUUGAAGGCGAGAGCGAAACGUGACGUUCGUUCCAGGCUGUGGUAAUGCAUCACAUGAGCUGGAGAAGUAUUCUUUGUGCCUCUUGGGCAAAACGUGAGUUUUGGAACCCGAGGAGCUGGUUGCUGUUUGUAUGCACCCCACGUCCCAAGGAGCCUUCCCACUUGGUGCCCACGCCGAGCGUUCCCCCAGAGCUCUGCAGGCGCUCCGCAGCCAUACAUUCCUUAACCCACCCCCUCCUCCUGCAGGAUGCCAUCUCCUUUCCUCUUCAUUUGACACAGACAAGAAGCCGAGGUAGCGUGAGGACACAGGCUGUGGGUAGGCAGGGAGCGGGGAGCCGCGUGCCGUCCUGCGCCCAUCCCACAGCCACGCUUUCCGUCCCAAAUCCAGUGCCCAACACAGGGCCGGGCCGCAGCCUCCCGCUGGGAACUGGACGACAGGCUGCUUUGGCUCUGGGGUGCCCAGAUGAUGCCCGGCACGGCAGCUGUGGGCACGGAACUGUUGGGGCGCUCCUCUUGCAAAGGGCCUUUUGUAGAAGCGAGAGCAGCCCCGGCCACCUGUACUGCCCGCAGGCUGCUAGCAGGAAGCAAGCAGGGCCAUCAAACUCAGCAGGCGUGUCGGGGGCACCUCCGGCCCCCCGGGCACACACGGCUGGUUUGUUCUGCCCGCUGCUCAGCGGGGAUGGGAGGAGCCGGCUCCUAUCCUGGGCCAAACCCUCUGGCAGCGCUCGGUGAGCUCGCAGCCACCCGUGAGGCUGUACCCACGGAGUGGAGAGGCAGCAGGAUUAGCAGGCAGGGCAGGAGCAGAUUAGUGGCCGUAUCCAGGUCUGCACACGUGUGACAGGGCAGUAGGGCAGAGCCACGAAGGGAGGAGCGUGUUCAUCGAUCACAUGGAGGAAAACCCUACAGGCUACUGGAAAUCAGUUAUAAUGCAACUGCCCGCAGCAGCCCUGCAUGCCCUAGAGGUCCCCAGCCCACCGCUGAACUCAGUGCAGGCUUCCUUCAUCAGUCCCUUAGGGACAGAGCUCUCCUGUCACUGCCUGGGGAUACCUAUUUCAGGGAGCUAUGCUCACCUGUGUGCCACGGUCCCAUCCUACACUGCAGACCCAGGCUGUGCCGUCACCGCUGGCAGGGGGCUGCGCUGUCGUCCCACUGCCCCUUCCUGCUGCUGGACCUGCGGGACGUGCGGGCAGUGCUGCUGAAAUGGGGCCGUGGGGGCCUUUCCACUUCAGCAAGCACAAACAAACCCCAUUGUCUGCUGGCUCAGCAAGGGGCCCGGGCGCGUGUGGGGCUCCAGCCUCAUCUGUCAGCCUGAGGGGAGGCCCGGGGUGUCCCCAAGGCAGGGCAGCACUGCUGGAACAUGGGGCUUCAGCGCAGGCUGGGGGCACAAAUCCUCUGCCAAAGCCACUGCCAAGGGUCUCCCUUGCUGCUGCCUCCUGGAUGCGGCCCUUUCCACAGCAGUUCCUCCAUUCCCAUUCCCUUUCCACACCCCUGCUCCCCUCUACAGCUCCACUGACCCUUUGCUCCCUCUGCAAGCAUUUACUGCCUAAUGGCAGCUAUUAAACAGAGCCACAGGGCAGCUGGUUACUGAAUGACAGCCACCACACCACGGGUAUAGCACUGUUCUCUAUUCCACUGCGGGCAUCUUCCACCUGCAAGGAGCUGGGCUGAGACCUUGGGAAAUACGGGACAACACACAGUGUGGGCUCCUGGUUACACAAGUCAACCCCUGUGAGAUGCUCCGAGGCAUUGGGAAACCACAGCCCCGGGGCCAGCAGAGUGCCCCGUCCCAUGAGGCCACCACGCUCCUUGCCCCAAGUGUCCUUGGCAGCAGCGUGGCCAUACAAACCCGGAGUGGGUGGCCCACUGCUGCGGUGCCCAGGGUCACAUCCAGCCCUUGGUGGCAGCGCCAACACCCCGUGAAGGAGCAGAGCCGCUGGGGAAGGAGCCCGAUGGCGCCCAGCCAUGCUUGUAAAAUGCACCUGGGGAGCUGGGAAAGGGAUGACCUGCCAAGCAGAAGGGUCAGCUGCUGCCACGCGGUCCCCUCCCUGCCCAAAGCCCAUCCACACCGAGUGACAAUCAGGAGCCAUGCCUUCCCAAGGCACAGGGACAGCGGGCAGGGCCACGUGUGGCUUUCAAGGAGUGCCAUCACGGCCGGAUGCUGCUCACCCACCAUGGGGUUCUUAGGGACGGCGCCACGGGGACCGCAGGGACCAAAGGGAUGGCACCACAGGGACUGUGGCACGCAGCCACCUGCAGAGAGGCAGCUCCCGGGAGCUCUCCUAGCAGUGCCUGCCCCAGGCUGAACCCCGCCUGAUGGCUGCUGGCUGCCGAGGAGGAAUUCGGCUGUGUAAACGCCUGGCACAGCUGAGUGGAUCCUGUUUGAAGAAGGAAGCCUGCGCUGUCAUGCUUUCCCCUCCGGGCAGAUCAGCGGUGGCUGAACGCUCCCAAACAUCUCCUGGGGAGUUGUGCAGAAGGGCCCUUUCCCACAGCUCCGGCACACGGGCCGCCCAUUAUUCCCCCCGCUGCCAGCCGAGCUCGCCUGCGUUCCCAGCCCAUAAGAAGGCCCCGGGGCCAACCGGCGGAGCGCAACAAUGGGACAGCAAAAACAGCACAAAGCCGUGGCCAGGCGCCGAGCAAACCGAGCGCCAGGGAACGGGGGAAAGUCUACGCUCCCCAUCAGCUAUCCCAUGGCCUCCGUGGCCCCGGUGCAGAGUGCGCCCUUGCUCAGGGGAUGCGCUGGGAGAUGGAAAUGCGCAGGGGUGCCACCAGGGUUUGGCGUGCGGGUGAGGAGGUGAACGGAGCGGAGCACGGGGUGCCUCAAAAGAACAGCACCUGCUUCUCCCUGGGCGAGGGAUGCUGGGUACCAGGCUCACCGCGGCCCCGUUCCCGGCUCCCGUUUAAGCCGGGAGCCCCGCACCCAACCCGCGUCCCGCCCCUCAUCCCGCGCACGGCGGGGACGCGGGGCGCUGCCGACCCCGGGGCACGGCGGCCCCGAACGCACGGAGGAGCGCGGCCCGGUGCUGCCCUCUGGCGGCCGCGGCCGGCGGUGCGCCCUCCCGCGGAGCCUCGGGGCCGGGAACCGGGAGCGGUGCGGCGGGGGCUGAGGACUCGGCGCAUCCGUCCUCGGCUGCUCGGGACUCGCAGGCGGUCUCCAGGGAAACAGCCUGCCCUUCCUACUAAAGUCCCAAAGCCAGGCGAUCUUUCUGACAGAACAGAAGGCGAGAGCGGCCCCCGCAGCAGCGCUGUCGGCUUCCCGUGAAAUCCUCCUUCCGAGGAGGAGCCGAGGGCGCCGCCCGCUCCUUGCCUUUUCCAGUCCCCGCGGGAUCCGGCAUCUCCAGAAGCUCGCCUGCCUUUCGCUGGUGCGGCGACCGGGUUUGCGGAGCCGGGGAGCUACGCCGCCUCUGGGAUGCGGUGCCGGGGCCGAUGGGAUCCCCGCAGAAAUUCCCAGCUCCCCGAGCGGCCGGCGAGGUCCCCGAACGGCAGCCGUCCCGCUCGGCCUUCGAGCUCCGCCCUACGCGGGGUCGGGACGCUGCGAUCCGACGGCCUGCUGGCCCGGGCGUCGCACCGGGAACGGGGACGGCACUCGGGGAGGACGGAGCGGUGGGAGCGGUGCCAGGGCUGAGGGAGGGCGCUCAACGGGCAGCUCGCAAAUAAAAAGGUCA